rnacentral:rRNA from 1 species
CCUACGGGAGGCAGCAGUGGGGAAUCUUCCGCAAUGGACGAAAGUCUGACGGAGCAACGCCGCGUGAGUGAAGAAGGUUUUCGGAUCGUAAAGCUCUUUCGUUAGGGACGAACGUGCUCUUUGUGAAUAAUGAGGAGUAAUGACGGUACCUAAAUAAGAAGCCACGGCUAACUACGUGCCAGCAGCCGCGGUAAUACGUAGGUGGCAAGCGUUGUCCGGAAUUAUUGGGCGUAAAGCGCGCGCAGGCGGGAUAUCAAGUCUGUCUUAAAAGUGCGAGGCUCAACCUCGUGAGGGGACAGAAACUGGUAUUCUUGAGUGUCGGAGAGGAAAGUGGAAUUCCAAGUGUAGCGGUGAAAUGCGUAGAGAUUUGGAAGAACACCAGUGGCGAAGGCGACUUUCUGGACGAUGUCUGACGCUGAGGCGCGAAAGCUAGGGGAGCGAACGGGCUUAGAUACCCUGGUAGUC